UACUAUGUUACGACUUAUCUUACCUUAAUAGUAAGAGCGACGGGCGAUGUGUGCAUAUUAUAGAGCUAAAAUCAAAUUUAUAAUCUAUAAAAUUUUACUAUCAAAUCCACCUUAACUAAAAAUAUUUCAUAAUUAGAUCCGUUUAAAUAUAUUUAUUGUAACCCAUCUCUACUUAAAUAUAAGCUACACCUUGAUCUGAUAUAAAUUAUAAUUAAAAUUAUAGAAAAUUAUUUUUCUAAUAAAAUAUUCUGAUAACGACGGUAUAUAAACUGAAAACAAAUUUAAGUAAGGUUCAACGUGGAUUAUCGAUUACAGGACAGGUUCCUCUGAAUAGACUAAAAUACCGCCAAAUUUUUUAAGUUUCAAGAACAUAACUACUACUACCUUAGUGUUUUAAAUUACAUUUUAAAUAAUAGGGUAUCUAAUCCUAGUUUA
rnacentral:rRNA from 1 species